rnacentral:tRNA from 1 species
GCCUGGGUGGCACAGUGGUUGAGUGUCUGCCUUCGGCUCAGGUCGUGAUCCCGGUGUUGUGGGAUCGAGCCCCACAUCAGGCU